rnacentral:rRNA from 1 species
AUACGAAGGAUGCGAGCGUUAUCCGGAUUUAUUGGGUUUAAAGGGAGCGUAGGCGGGAGCUUAAGUCAGCGGUUAAAUGGUGCGGCUCAACCGUGCCCUGCCGUUGAAACUGGGUUUCUUGAGAGUGCAAGAGGCGGAUGGAAUUCAUGGUGUAGCGGUGAAAUGCUUAGAUAUCAUGAAGAACUCCGAUUGCGAAGGCAGUCCGCUGGGGCACGUCUGACGCUGAUGCUCGAAGGUGCGGGAAUCAAACAGGAUUAGAUACCCUGGUAGUCCGCACGGUAAACGAUGAUUACCCGCUGUCGGCGGCAGACAGUCGGCGGCCAAGCGAAAGCGAUAAGUAAUCCACCUGGGGAGUACGCCGGCAACGGUGAAACUCAAAGGAAUUGACGGGG